rnacentral:rRNA from 1 species
CCAAUAGCGUAUAUUAAAGUUGUUGCAGUUAAAAAGCUCGUAGUUGAAUUUCGGGGUCAGUAGGUUGGUCGUGCCACUGGUAUGCACUGGUCUCACUGAUUCCUCCUUCCUGAUGAACCGUAAUGCCAUUAAUUUGGUGUUGCGGGGAAUCUGGACUGUUACUUUGAAAAAAUUAGAGUGUUUAAAGCAGGCUAACGCUUGAAUACAUUAGCAUGGAAUAAUGAAAUAGGACGAUCGAUCCUAUUUUGUUGGUUUCUAGGAUUGACGUAAUGAUUAAUAGGGAUAGUUGGGGGCAUUAGUAUUCAAUUGUCAGAGGUGAAAUUCUUGGAUUUAUUGAAGACUAACUACUGCGAAAGCAUUUGCCAAGGAUGUUUUCAUUAAUCAAGAACGAAAGUUAGGGGAUCGAAGACGAUCAGAUACCGUCGUAGUCUUAACCAUAAACUAUGCCGACUAGGGAUCGGAUGAUGUUAAUUUUUUAAUGACUCAUUCGGCGCCUUACG